CCAUGGAUUCAGUUGCAUGGUAGAGAACAUAAGACUUCAAGCUGCUGAUUAUACCCUUUCUACUUGGCCUUUCUAACACAAAGAUAAUAUAUUCACAUCAGCUGGAUAUCAGAGGCAUCUAUGUACAAAUACCAUGAUGGUUUAGGACUGUCUGUGAAAACCAGAAGCCAGCCUAGAUCCCUGGAGCACACGAGCCUUACUGAUAAUGAAACUCUUGGUUCUGUCUCAUUGAGCUCCCUGAUUUGUCUGCUUUUCCAUCUCCUGAGACACCUGCCACCCUAGUUCUUAGGCAUGGGGAAUUAACACAGCAUUAUUGUCCAAAGAGACAGCAAGACGUCCUCUCUUUUGUGAAUCACUGGCAUGUGCUCCUCAUGGCUGUUUUUGCUUCUUCCCUUUCUCCUACAUGAUGCAGCCAGGAAAGGAGGACACAUAAAUCACCUUUUCUGUGGCAUAUAGACAACACUGCAGACCAGCCUAACAUGAUCCAGGACAAAGGGCAGUUUCAUAAAGAGUUCAAGAAAAAUUUGGAGCCAUAAUUCUAAGGACAGCAGCUGUCCCAUACAGGCUUGAAGCUAUCCUCAUCUUGAGUACGUGGCUUGAUGAUCUUCUUCUGGCAGGAGGCAGUAGGAGUUUUUGGGAAAAACAAAUUGAAUGGGGAAAGCAAAGGAAAUGUCUGAAGCAGGAGACGGAGAAAAGACAAAGAAAGUCUCUUGCAGAGUGUGACUGUUUUGGGAGUCUGCUGCUACCUCUGCUUUCUCCUGCUAUGUGCCUACCCAGCAUGUUCCCUCUCUGUUCAUUUGUAAGGCAGUUCCUGCAAAAUGAAAGUCUACAGAGAACAGGAAUAGAAGGGUGACAUGGUCUCUGUCACUCCAAACAGAAAAUGUUCCAGUGACUUUUUUUUUUUUUUU
rnacentral:lncRNA from 1 species